ACGGGAGGCAGCAGUGGGGAAUAUUGCACAAUGGGGGGAACCCUGAUGCAGCAACGCCACGUGUGGGAAGAAGCAUUUCGGUGUGUAAACCACUGUCGUGAGGGAAUAAUGCUUGGUCUCGGCCAAGUUGAAUGUACCUCGAAAGGAAGCACCGGCAAACUUCGUGCCAGCAGCCGCGGUAAUACGAGGGGUGCAAGCGUUGUUCGGAAUCACUGGGCGUAAAGGGAGCGUAGGCGGAGACGCAAGCAGUCUGUACAAUACCGGGGCCCAACCCCGGACCUGCAGACUGGACUGUGUCUCUUGGAUAGUUCAGGGGCAGGCGGAAUUCCUGGUGUAGCGGUGGAAUGCGUAGAGAUCAGGAAGAGCACCGAUGGCGAAGGCAGCCAGCUGGGGGCUUAUCGACGCUCAUGCUCGAAAGUGCGGGUAGCAAACAGGAUUAGAUACCCUGGUA
rnacentral:rRNA from 1 species